UACGUAGGGUGCGAGCGUUGCCCGGAUUUAUUGGGCGUAAAGGGCGCGUAGGCGGCCACGCACGUCCGUUGUGAAAUACGCCCGGCUCAACCUGGGCGGGGUCAGCGGAUACGGUGUGGGCUCGAGCAAGCUAGGGGGCAAGUGGAAUUCCCGGUGUGAGUGGUGGGAAUGCGUAGAUAUCAGGAGGAACACCAGUGGCGAAGGCGGCUACCUGGACCGGUUCUGACGUCUGAUGCGCGAAAGCGGUGGGAUAG
rnacentral:rRNA from 1 species